AUACGGAGGGUGCGAGCGUUAAUCGGAAUUACUGGGCGUAAAGAGUACGUAGGCGGUUGCUUAAGUCAGAUGUGAAAGCCCCGGGCUCAACCUGGGAACUGCAUUUGAAACUGAGUGACUAGAGUUUAAGAGAGGGGAGUAGAAUUCCGGGUGUAGCGGUGAAAUGCGUAGAGAUCCGGAGGAAUACCAGUGGCGAAGGCGGCUCCCUGGCUUAGAACUGACGCUGAGGUACGAAAGCGUGGGUAGCAAACAGGAUUAGAAACCCUAGUAGUCC
rnacentral:rRNA from 1 species